rnacentral:tRNA from 1 species
GCCACGGUGGUGGAAUUGGUAGACACGCAGGACUUAAAAUCCUGUUCCCUAUAAAGGAGUGCGGGUUCGAUUCCCGCCCGCGGCACAA